rnacentral:rRNA from 1 species
UACGUAGGUGGCAAGCGUUGUCCGGAUUUACUGGGCGUAAAGAGCGCGCAGGUGGUCGGAUCAGUCGAAUGUGAAAGCCCCCGGCUCAACUGGGGAGGGUCACGCGAUACUGAUCGACUCGAAGGCAGGAGAGGGUAGUGGAAUUCCCGGUGUAGCGGUGGAAUGCGCAGAUAUCAGGAGGAACACCGGUGGCGAAGGCGGGUCUCUGG